UGCUGGACUGGAGAGUGUACACCAUAGACUGGAGACUCUGAGGGUGGAUGGCAGAGAAAACAAGGCCACACCUGACAGACAUGAAGGACAUCCGUCUGAGGACGCCAGAGAGGAUCAGCUGUGUCCUGAUGAUCCAGAGAGGUUGAAGCAGCAGCAGCUUCUGUGUGGAG